GGUCUCGUAGCUCAGCUGGUAGAGCAUUGGAUUGAAAAUCCAAGUGUCAGCGGUUCAACUCCGCUCGAGACCACCA
rnacentral:tRNA from 1 species